GACGAACGCUGGCGGCGUGCUUAACACAUGCAAGUCGUACGGUAAGGCCCUGUCGGGGGUGCACGAGUGGCGAACGGGUGAGUAACACGUGAGUAACCUGCCCACAACUUUGGGAGAACGCUCGGAAACUGGUGGGAAUUCUUGAUAUGUGCUACUGCUGCAUGGUGGGGGGUGGAAAGCUCCGGCCGUUGUGGUGGGACUGGCUGCCUGUCAGCUUGUUGGUGGGGUAGGGGCCGACCCAGGCGGGGACGGGUGGCCCGCCUGGGGGGGUGAGCGGCCCCCAUUGGACUUGGAUAAGGCCCCGACUCCUACCGGAGGCAGCCGUGGGGAAUCUUGCAACAUGGGCGCGAGCCUGAUGCAGCCACGCCGCGUGCGGGAUGACGGCCUUCGGGUUGUAAACCGCUUUCAGCAGGGACGAAGCUUUUUGUGACGGUACCUGCAGAAGAAGCACCGGCUAACUACGUG
rnacentral:rRNA from 1 species